rnacentral:rRNA from 1 species
AGCGAACGCUGGCGGCAGGCCUAACACAUGCAAGUCGAACGAAGUCUUCGGACUUAGUGGCGGACGGGUGAGUAACACGUGGGAACGUACCUUUUGGUUCGGAACAACUCAGGGAAACUUGAGCUAAUACCGGAUGAGCCCUUAGGGGGAAAGAUUUAUCGCCGAAAGAGCGGCCCGCGUUAGAUUAGCUAGUUGGUGAGGUAAAGGCUCACCAAGGCUACGAUCUAUAGCUGGUCUGAGAGGAAGAUCAGCCACACUGGGACUGAGACACGGCCCAGACUCCUACGGGAGGCAGCAGUGGGGAAUCUUGCGCAAUGGGCGAAAGCCUGACGCAGCCAUGCCGCGUGAAUGAUGAAGGUCUUAGGAUUGUAAAAUUCUUUUACCAGGGACGAUAAUGACGGUACCCGGAGAAAAAGCCCCGGCUAACUUCGUGCCAGCAGCCGCCGUAAAAC